rnacentral:misc_RNA from 1 species
UUCUUGAGCGCCUCCUG